CCAACCUCAGAGCUUGGAUGUCAGACUUUUGCAAAGUGGACUAAAUCCACAUGCUUAAGGGUAAGGAGCAUUUCUGAAUGAAGCUGAAAAAUGUCAAGACUGGCACAGGAACCAGAGAAAUGCUGACUAUGUAUGAUACUUCCAGUGGGCAGGCUCAUGAUACAGUGAUCACUGAGAAGUGACAUGCUGUAUAUUCCCUCAGAUGUUUAAAUGGAACAUGAAAGAGAAAAACAGCAGCCUAUUCCAUCUUUCAGAAACUCUACCAUCCACUGAAACCAGGACCACAGAGAAGGGAUUCCACAAAAGGUUAUGGAAGUAUGAAGGAUUCUGGGAAGCCUCACUGGGACUCAGUACAAGAUGUCAUAUUUGAACAUUAUUUUCCGCCAUGAGCAAAGGAAAAUCCUAACCACAGAUGGCUCGUCCAAGAGCAAAGAGGGCCUCAAGACCAGUUUAUUAUAGCAUAUUCAAAACCACUGUGGGUCUUGAACAUCCUAUGCAAAGGUAACUUCAUUUUAAAAUAUUACUAGGAGAUUCAAGGGCAGUCCCUUUUGCACAUUAAUAUCUAAACAUAUAAU
rnacentral:lncRNA from 1 species